rnacentral:pre_miRNA from 9 species
CCACCACUUAAAUGUGGGUGUUCUUGCUUUGAAAUUAAAAAAGAAAGUACUUCCAUACUUUAGAGAUGG